rfam:Triticum aestivum genome assembly, contig: Triticum_aestivum_CS42_TGACv1_scaffold_500544_6BL
CAUAUACUCCCUCUGUCCGAAAAAGCUUGUCUCUCAAAUGGAUGUAUCUCGCACCAAGUUAAUGUUGGAUACAUCCAUUUCAAGGACAAGUUUGGGACAAGUUUUUUCGGACGAUGGGAGUAGAUC